rnacentral:rRNA from 12 species
GUAAUCUGAGCGUCUUAUUUUAAUAAGUCAAAACUUUCAACAACGGAUCUCUUGGUUCUGGCAUCGAUGAAGAACGCAGCGAAAUGCGAUAAGUAAUGUGAAUUGCAGAAUUCAGUGAAUCAUCGAAUCUUUGAACGCACAUUGCGCCCAUUAGUAUUCUAGUGGGCAUGCCUGUUCGAGCGUCAUUUCAACCCUUAAGCCU